rnacentral:rRNA from 1 species
CAGCCGCCGCGGUAAUACGUAGGUGGCAAGCGUUGUCCGGAAUUAUUGGGCGUAAAGGGCGCGUAGGCGGACUGAUAAGUCAGGGGUGAAAUCCCAAGGCUCAACCUUGGAACUGCCUUUGAUACUGUUUGUCUUGAGUUCGAGAGAGGUAAGUGGAACUGCGAGUGUAGAGGUGAAAUUCGUAGAUAUUCGCGAGAACACCAGUGGCGAAGGCGGCUUACUGGCUCGAAACUGACGCUGAGGCGCGAAAGCGUGGGGAGCAAACAGGAUUAGAGACCCCCGUAGUCCCUGUCUCUUAUAC